CGAACGCUGGCGGCAGGCUUAACACAUGCAAGUCGAGCGCCCCGCAAGGGGAGCGGCAGACGGGUGAGUAACGCGUGGGAACGUACCUUUUGCUACGGAAUAACUCAGGGAAACUUGUGCUAAUACCGUAUGUGCCCUUCGGGGGAAAGAUUUAUCGGCAAAGGAUCGGCCCGCGUUGGAUUAGCUAGUUGGUGAGGUAAAGGCUCACCAAGGCGACGAUCCAUAGCUGGUCUGAGAGGAUGAUCAGCCACACUGGGACUGAGACACGGCCCAGACUCCUACGGGAGGCAGCAGUGGGGAAUAUUGGACAAUGGGCGCAAGCCUGAUCCAGCCAUGCCGCGUGAGUGAUGAAGGCCCUAGGGUGUAAAGCUCUUCACCGGUGAAGAUAAUGACGGUAACCGGAGAAGAAGCCCCGGCUU
rnacentral:rRNA from 2 species